CUGCAGGAGUCAGUCCCAGUCAGGACACAGCAUGACCAUGAAGGCUCCUGCUCAGGCCCUGGCAAUUUGGCUACUCUGGCUCUCAGGUGCCAGAUGUGACAUUCAAGUGACACAAUCUCCAUCCUCCCUGUCAGUAUCUUUAGGAGACAGAGUGACAAUCAAUUGCCUGGCAAGUCAGGGCAUUAGCAAUAACCUAAACUGGUACCAGCAGAAAUCAGGACAAGCUCCUACACUUUUGAUCUAUUAUGCAACUAGUUUGCAAUCUAGUGUCCCAUCAAGUUUCAGUGGCCAAUACUCUGGGAACAGUUUCACUCUAACCAUCAGUAGCGUGGAGCCUGAAGAUGUUGGAACUUAUUUUUGUCUGCAGUAUCACAGUUCUCCUUCCACAGUGAUACAAGCCAUGACAUAAACCACGAGGGGAAGUAGAAGUUGGAGGCUGUGCUGCCCCAGCUGCUGCUCCUUGGUUUUUUUAUGUGCUCAGACUGCUUGCAUGUCAAGAAAUAGUUUUGCUUCAAAGUGCCCAGAUAUCUGCAUAGUAAUCCUUCUCUCUGUGGUCCUCUGCCAGCACUCAGUGUGCAUCUACCACAACAGAGGAAAUAAACUGCCUAACCAUGUGGUCCUUGGAUAGGUCUGGGAAGUUCAAGGAGACACUGUUGAUGCUUCAAUCUGCAUGUGACAUAACACAGGAGAGGCUCAAUCCUUGUUUCAUAUGGUUUAUCACAGGUGCCUAUGGAUGGGAAAAUCCUUUCCUUUGACUUCACAUUUCAGCAAGGAUCUUUAUUGAGCAACUCUGCAGGAAACCAGAGAAAGCAAGGACUAACAGACAAUACCUGUCCAGAAUUAUUCUGAGGUCAUUUCCAGAGAUGAACAGGUCAUGAGACAUCCAGUGUAAUUAAUGGAGUAAUCCCCCCUUUUUAUCAUAUGAAGGCCUUGUGGAGAGCUGGUCAAAUGCACAAAACUGGACCUGGUUGGAACAUCAUUUCCAUACUUUGGGGUUUUAUUCUUGAUUGAUGUGUGUUGACCUGACUAGGAUCAGAGCUCACAGCCUCUUUUGUGUCAUGGAAUUGAUCGCCUUUACCAGGAGCUUACAACUUCAUAAUUUUCUGCCUUAGAAAGUGUCCAAAUUUACAAAGCCAUUGCAGACUGAAAUUUUUAAAGUGCUUUUGGUCAUGUUUUUGCACAUCUGGAGGGUAUAUUAACAUGUAGUCCACUUGUGAUCCCUUCUAUCCAUUUGCUCAGAGAAUGAACCUCAAAAGCAUGGUUGUUUGUGCUCAUUUGCAUCAUUAAGGGUAUAAUUUUUUGCAAAGUGAUUCUUUCUUCAUUAUUUGUGUUAGUAAUUUAUUAAAUAUUCCUCACAGGAGGUACAAAAAUGUGUCCAUUAAC